rnacentral:ncRNA from 2 species
GGCACACGGCCGGGGUGCCCCACGAGGGGCUGAGAUGAGACCCGACGAACCUGAUCCGGUUAGCACCGGCGCUAGGGAGCUGUCAUGAGUAGUCC